UCCGUAGGGUGCAAGCGUUAAUCGGAAUUACUGGGCGUAAAGCGUGCGCAGGCGGCUUUGCAAGACAGAUGUGAAAUCCCCGGGCUCAACCUGGGAACUGCAUUUGUGACUGCAUCGCUGGAGUGCGGCAGAGGGGGAUGGAAUUCCGCGUGUAGCAGUGAAAUGCGUAGAUAUGCGGAGGAACACCGAUGGCGAAGGCAAUCCCCUGGGCCUGCACUGACGCUCAUGCACGAAAGCGUGGGGAGCAAACAGG
rnacentral:rRNA from 1 species